UGCAAGUCGAGCGAACAGAUGAAGUGCUUGCACUUCUGACGUUAGCGGCGAACGGGUGAGUAACACGUAAGGAAUCUACCUAUAAGCGGGGGAUAACAUUCGGAAACGGGUGCUAAUACCGCAUAAUAUCUUCUUCCGCAUGGAAGAAGAUUGAAAGACGGCUCUGCUGUCACUUAUAGAUGACCUUGCGGUGCAUUAGUUAGUUGGUGGGGUAAUGGCCUACCAAGACGAUGAUGCAUAGCCGACCUGAGAGGGUGAUCGGCCACAUUGGGACUGAGACACGGCCCAAACUCCUACGGGAGGCAGCAGUAGGGAAUCUUCCGCAAUGGGCGAAAGCCUGACGGAGCAAUGCCGCGUGAGUGAAGAAGGCCUUCGGGUCGUAAAACUCUGUUAUAAGAGAAGAACAAAUUGUAGAGUAACUGCUACAGUCUUGACGGUAUCUUAUCAGAAAGCCACGGCUAACUACGUGCCAGCAGCCGCGGUAAUACGUAGGUGGCAAGCGUUGUCCGGAUUUAUUGGGCGUAAAGGGAGCGCAGGUGGUUUCUUAAGUCUGAUGUGAAAGCCCACGGCUUAACCGUGGAGGGUCAUUGGAAACUGGGAAACUUGAGUACAGAAGAGGAAUGUGGAACUCCAUGUGUAGCGGUGGAAUGCGUAGAUAUAUGGAAGAACACCAGUGGCGAAGGCGACAUUCUGGUCUGUUACUGACACUGAGGCUCGAAAGCGUGGGGAGCAAACAGGAUUAGAUACCCUGGUAGU
rnacentral:rRNA from 1 species